AAGUAAAUGAACAUGAAAUUCAAAGGGAAACAGGAGCAAUAAUCAUUACCAGCUGCCGUGUUAAGCAUUGCGAAAACGCUCACGAUUCACAGAAAAAUCCAUGCUGUUCUUUGAAGGCAUUCAAGCCUUAAUAGCUAGCUGGAUGAAUGUUUAACUUCUAGGCCAGGCACUACUCUGUCCCAACAAUAAGCCCUGUACAUUGGGAAAGGUGCCGAGACAUGAACUUUGGUCUUCUCUGCAAUCCAUCUGGAGCAUUCAGUGACAACAUCGACUUUGAAGUUGCACUGACCUGGCCAGCCCUGCCACUUACCAGGUUGGGCUGUGGCUUGCCUUUUCACUUCUUGUGUCCUGUUUAAGAAAUAUCUACUAUCCCAAGCAUCUGGCAUCUUUCUUGACACAUGUAGCAGUUGCUUUUUGACAGCUUGCUUCUUCAGUGAAUGAAUAAAUUAAUAAAGAGAAAUGUGAUGUUCAGUGAUCCAUUUUGCAGAUAACACUAACAAAGUUGACCUUAGAAUUGGAGUGCCUGGGUUAGAACCCUGCUGGUACCACCUGCUUACUGCAUGCUUCUGAUGUGAGUUCAGGAGAAGACACUGGCAAGGACAGCAAAGAACAGGAGAACACUCUAGCUUCCCUGAUAGCAUUCAAGGUGCUGUCCAAACUGACUGUGAUGGCACCCUCCAGACAGACAGCGAUGCCACAUGUUCAAGAUGGCAGAAUCACUAUCAGCUUCAAUUCCUGAAUGACUGCAGAGCAAAAUUUCUUACCCGCAACAUACACUCUAUUUUCAGCCUCCCUGGACUGUUACAUAAUGAUACAUAAAAAUAUUUCUUGUGUUGAGGCAUCCCAAAUUUGAUCUAUUUGUCAUCACAGUCUAUCCUCUGAAUAUAUUUCUGAUCCAAAUAAUGCUAGAUUCAUGCGAGUUUAUAGUCCAGAGAUUUUUUUUUUUUUUUUUUUUUGAGACAGAAUCUCACUGUCUCCCAGGCCGGGGUGCAGUGGCAUAAUCUUAGCUCACUGCAACCUCCACCUCCUGGGCUCAAGUGAUCCUCCCUCCUUAGCCUCCAUGAGUAGCUGGGACCACAGGUGUGCACCACCACACCCCGCUAAUUAUUUUGUAUUUUUUGCAGAGGGGGGUUUCACCACAUUGCCCAAGCUGGUCUCAAACUCCUAGACUUAAGGGAUCUGCCCGCCUUGGCCUCCCAAAAUGCUGAAAUUACACUUGUUAGCCAUAGUAAUAGUUCCUAGCCACAGUCCGGAGAUAUUUUAAAAACUUUAGUGUGAGUUAUUUCUCUUUGCUGUAAUUCUCUCAUGCAUUUUGAAAACCUUUUCUGCCAUACAGUGGUUUUUGGGAAGUCCUUUUGGACAGACAUAUCACAGGAUGGAGAAACUAAAGA
rnacentral:lncRNA from 1 species